UACGUAGGGUGCAAGCGUUAAUCGGAAUUACUGGGCGUAAAGCGUGCGCAGGCGGUGAUGUAAGACAGGUGUGAAAUCCCCGGGCUUAACCUGGGAACUGCAUUUGUGACUGCAUCGCUGGAGUGCGGCAGAGGGGGAUGGAAUUCCGCGUGUAGCAGUGAAAUGCGUAGAUAUGCGGAGGAACGCCGAUGGCGAAGGCAAUCCCCUGGGCCUGCACUGACGCUCAUGCACGAAAGCGUGGGGAGCAAACAGG
rnacentral:rRNA from 1 species